UACGAAGGGGGCUAGCGUUGUUCGGAAUUACUGGGCGUAAAGCGCGCGCAGGCGGUCUUCCAAGUCAGUGGUGAAAGCCCGGAGCUCAACUCCGGAACUGCCAUUGAAACUGUAAGACUUGAGGAUGAGAGAGGUGAGUGGAAUUCCCAGUGUAGAGGUGAAAUUCGUAGAUAUUGGGAAGAACACCGGUGGCGAAGGCGGCUCACUGGCUCAUUUCUGACGCUCAGGCGCGACAGCGUGGGGAUCGAAACAGG
rnacentral:rRNA from 1 species